rnacentral:misc_RNA from 1 species
GCAAACUUGGUCAUUUAGAGGAAGUAAAAGUCGUAACAAGGUUUCCGUAGGUGAACCUGCGGAAGGAUCAUUAGUGAAUAAACUUGUGUGGGUUGUUGCUGGCCUUUUCGGAGGCAUGUGCACGCUCACCAUUGUUUCAUUCCUCCCUUCCACCUGUGCACUUUCUGUAGACCAGGCUCGUCACCCCCCUUCAGCAGUGUUCUGCACUCCUGGUGUGAGGAUUUGCUCCGGCUGUCCUUGGAUUGGUCUGGUCUAUGUUUUAUCAACUCUUAUUGCAUGGUAUCGAACGUCUGUCUGGGUUCUAUAUGACCCAUAAAACCUAUACAACUUUCAACAACGGAUCUCUUGGCUCUCGCAUCGAUGAAGAACGCAGC